GCAGCCUGAUGGAGCGACACCGCGUGAGUGAAGAAGGGUUUCGGCUCGUAAAGCUCUGCUGUUGAAGAAGAACGUGCGUGAGAGUAACUGUUCAUGCAGUGACGGUAUUCAACCAGAAAGUCACGGCUAACUACGUGCCAGCAGCCGCGGUAAUACGUAGGUGGCAAGCGUUAUCCGGAUUUAUUGGGCGUAAAGCGAGCGCAGGCGGUUUUCUAAGUCUGAUGUGAAAGCCUUCGGCUUAACCGAAGAAGGGCAUCGGAAACUGGAUGACUUGAGUGCAGAAGAGGGCAGUGGAACUCCAUGUGUAGCGGUGAAAUC
rnacentral:rRNA from 1 species